AGGAAGUAAAAGUCCGUAAACAGGUUUNCCGUAGGUGAACCUGCGGAAGGAUCAUUA
rnacentral:rRNA from 1 species